AACGAACGCUGGCGGCAUGCCUAACACAUGCAAGUCGAACGAGACCUUCGGGUCUAGUGGCGCACGGGUGCGUAACGCGUGGGAAUCUACCCUUGGGUUCGGAAUAACUCAGAGAAAUUUGAGCUAAUACCGGAUGAUGUCGCGAGACCAAAGAUUUAUCGCCCAGGGAUGAGCCCGCGUAGGAUUAGCUAGUUGGUGAGGUAAAGGCUCACCAAGGCGACGAUCCUUAGCUGGUCUGAGAGGAUGAUCAGCCACACUGGGACUGAGACACGGCCCAGACUCCUACGGGAGGCAGCAGUGGGGAAUAUUGGACAAUGGGCGAAAGCCUGAUCCAGCAAUGCCGCGUGAGUGAUGAAGGCCUUAGGGUUGUAAAGCUCUUUUACCCGGGAUGAUAAUGACAGUACCGGGAGAAUAAGCCCCGGCUAACUCCGUGCCAGCAGCCGCGGUAAGCAUACUCGUA
rnacentral:rRNA from 1 species